UACUGGGUAUUUUUAGUGGCGAAAGGGUGCGUAACACGUGGGUAAUCUACCGUAAAGUUCGGAAUAACUUCGAGAAAUCAAAGCUAAUACCGAAUGUGAUCUGACAGGGACAUCCCUGUUCCAUUAAAGCUAGGGACCUUCGGGCCUGGCGCUUUACGAUGAGCCCGCGCCCUAUCAGCUUGUUGGUGAGGUAAAAGCUCACCAAGGCUAAGACGGGUAGCCGGUCUGAGAGGACGAUCGGCCACACUGGAACUGAGACACGGUCCAGACACCUACGGGUGGCAGCAGUCGAGAAUCAUUCACAAUGGGGGAAACCCUGAUGGUGCGACGCCGCGUGGGGGAUGAAGGUCUUCGGAUUGUAAACCCCUGUCAUUUGUGAACAAACCUUUUGGUUUAAUAGAUCAAAAGCUGAUAGUAGCAAAAGAGGAAGGGACGGCUAACUCCGUGCCAGCAGCCGCGGUAAUACGGAGGUCCCAAGCGUUGUUCGGAUUUACUGGGCGUAAAGGGUGCGUAGGUGGCCAGGAAAGUUUGAUGUGAAAGCUCCGAGCUCAACUCGGAAAAUGCAUUGAAUACUACUUGGCUUGAGGAUCGGAGGGGAGACUGGAAUUCUCGGUGUAGCAGUGAAAUGCGUAGAUAUCGAGAGGAACACCAGUGGCGAAGGCGAGUCUCUGGACGAUUCCUGACACUGAGGCACGAAAGCUAGGGGAGCAAACAGGAUUAGAUACCCUGGUAGUCCUAGCCGUAAACGGUGCACACUUGCUGUAGGAGGAUUCGACCCC
rnacentral:rRNA from 1 species